AUGUUAGCAGCAGGAGAACCCACCACAGGCUAUGGGAGUUUAUCUCCUGACAACCCAUCGUUCCCUUUCCCCUCGAUACAGUCCGGCGCGGCUGCCAGGGCCCGUCUCGUGCCCCUCCGACAGAAUCUUUUGCCUGGCUCCCCUUUGCGAUUCUCCCGAUCCGAUUUGGUGACGAGGAAAGAUCAUUUCCCCCUGUCCACAAAACAGCUUGGCGGCAGGAUCCGAUGUCUGCGUGAUGGCGCUCUACCGGCACGACCGAACGGUGCAGCUCGUUGCAGCGGCUCUCCGGGAUUAUCUCCUGUUAUUUCCCAUGCCUGUGUCGUGCCUGCGUCCCCGAGGCGGCGUCCGUGUGCCAUGCUCCUCCUCUCCCUUCUCGAUGUUAAUUCCGAUGAAGGUAACUCUGACGUGGCUGAGAAGGUUGGAUUUGAUCAGUUUGCCGGAUCGGACCGGCCAUUGGGGUCCGGAGCAGGUUUAUUUCCGGCCGGGGAGGAGGCUCUGGUAGCCACGCUGACCUCAGCCAGUUCUCUGGAGCAUGUAUUGUCGCUAUUCCCCUUCUCAGUGUGGCUCCUGCGUCCAUGGUCACAUGGUCCUCCUCAGUUGCCGAUCAUAUUUCGUGGUGCCAUUGUAGAGAGCCGGCCUCAUGGACCGGAUGCGGGUGGUGGUCCAGCUCUUUGGUCAGUUCACCGGAAUCCUCUGUUAUGGAGUGGAUGCGACGCAGGGCAGGACCUGUGUUUGACAGAGACAACUUGCAGGGGCCUCCUCACGUGCUUCCCGUCGACGGCAUCGGCAGUCACGAGGAGAUAG
rnacentral:rRNA from 1 species